rnacentral:rRNA from 1 species
GACGAACGCUGGCGGCGCGCUUAACACAUGCAAGUCGAACGGAAAGGCCUGCUUUCCCUUGUGGAUUGCGGGUACUCGAGUGGCGAACGGGUGAGUAACACGUGAGUGAUCUGCCCCCAACUUGGGUAUAAGCCUGGGAAACUGGGUCUAAUUCCCGAUAGGACUGCAGGGUGGUGCCUGUGGUGGAAAACGAUUUUCCAGUGGUUGGGGAUGAGCUCGCGGCCUAUCAGCUUGUUGGUGGGGUAAUGGCCUACCAAGGCGGCGACGGGUAGCCGGCCUGGGAGGGUGGACGGCCACAUUGGGACUGAGAUACGGCCCAGACUCCUACGGGAGGCAGCAGUGGGGAAUAUUGCACAAUGGGCGGAAGCCUGAUGCAGCGACGCCGCGUGGGGGAUGACGGCCUUCGGGUUGUAAACUCCUUUCGACCGCGAGGAAGCCACCUGGUUGGAAGGGUGGUGACGGUAGUGGUAGAAGAAGCACCGGCUAACUACGUG